AAAAUCGUUACGGGGUACCCGUUAGUUUUUACCUUGUACCCGGGAAGUUUUCUUCGGGCUGCCGGAAAGUGGCAAACGGGUGAGUAAUGCUUCGGAACGUGCCCAGUCAUGGGGGAUAACUACGCGAAAGCGUAGCUAAUACCGCAUACGCCCUGAGGGGGAAAGUGGGGGAUCUUCGGACCUCACGUGAUUGGAGCGGCCGAUGUCAGAUUAGCUAGUUGGUGAGGUAAAGGCUCACCAAGGCGACGAUCUGUAGCGGGUCUGAGAGGAUGAUCCGCCACACUGGGACUGAGACACGGCCCAGACUCCUACGGGAGGCAGCAGUGGGGAAUUUUGGACAAUGGGCGCAAGCCUGAUCCAGCCAUGCCGCGUGAGUGAAGAAGGCCUUCGGGUUGUAAAGCUCUUUCGCAAGGGAAGAAAACGUGUGGGCUAAUAUCCUGCGCGGAUGACGGUACCUUGACAAGAAGCACCGGCUAACUACGUGCCAGCAGCCGCGGUAAUACGUAGGGUGCGAGCGUUAAUCGGAAUUACUGGGCGUAAAGAGUGCGCAGGCGGUUGUGUAAGACAGGUGUGAAAUCCCCGGGCUUAACCUGGGAACUGCGCUUGUGACUGCACGGCUAGAGUACGGCAGAGGGGGGUGGAAUUCCUGGUGUACAGUGAAAUGCGUA
rnacentral:rRNA from 1 species